GAGGUCGGAUCUCUUGCAGUGUCUGCACCUGGUUGAAGGUGGCCCACGUCAGCACCUGCGCCAGGCUUCAAGGCAGAGGGCUGAGACGCCGGUGCAGCGGUAGGGCUGAGGAAGCCUGUUUCGAGCUGUGCUCAGUGUCUCAGUCGUGUUAGACCCUGCAGCCCCGUGCACCGUAGCACCGCCAGGCUCCUCUGUCCAUGGGGAUUCUCCAGAGAAGAAAUGUAUCAAGCAAGACCCCUCUCUAGGAACCUCUUUUUGUACACCUUCCUACAAAACCAUGGCCCAGGCUUCCUGGACGACCAAGACUCAGGGCUUCCUGGUGUGACCAGUAUCUUGGAGUUCCACCCCAUCUCCCCCUACAGUGACAGUCCACACUACCUGGCCAUGCAGCUGGCCUCCAUUGCCGAUGAGAUGGAGCUGAGGUUGCUGCUGCCCCAGUUCGUUGAGCCCUUCUGGAUGACCAUGUACAGCUUGUUUUUCCCCUACAGCCACGUAGGGCUCAGGGAUGUUCUGAGAAGCUUUAUGGCUGCUUUCACCAACCUUAGGGAGAACCGAAGGCUCUGGAGCUUCCUGACUCUCAGGGACCGGGUGUCGCCCAGCCUGUGGCCCGAGCUGGCGCUGUCCCUGCUGGUGGUGGCGAUGCUCAGCUGGGGGUGCCGCCCCCACUGACCGAACUGCUGGUCAGUGUGGGGGUGGGGCUGGCCCCUCCCUCUCGACCACCACCCUGGCGGUGGCCCUGUUUUGGUGGUGUUGUCUUUUAACUGUUUUCUGAUGAUGCUUUUUUUUUUUUUUUUUAAUUUAAACUCUGAGUGCUGGGACACUGAGGUUCAUACUAUUUUUUUCCUUUUUUUUUUUUUUUGUAAGAGAAAUGAAUUUAUUAUACCUCUGGGGUCGUUACUGGUUAAUGACCUGCUCUCCCGGUGCCAGCCUGCUCUGCGGUGGCCUGUCCUGGGA
ensembl:lncRNA